UGCGACAACACUGGAUCCUUUAACCCACUGCAUGGAGCCAGGGAUCAAACCUAUGCCUCCUCAGCAAUCCAAGCCACUGCAGUCAAAUCUUAACCCACUGCACCACAUGGGAAAUCCAAUAUCUGAGUGUCUUUAUAUAUAAACUUAUUUAAGUAAAUAAAGUGAGUUAUUUUAAAGCCUGAUGCUAAGCCAAUCCUGAACCAGGUGGCUGGGACACUACCUGUCUAGCCACAGUAGAGUCCAGGUCAAAAGUAAGCAAAAGGAAGCUGACUGGAAAAAAGCAGAAAGGUAAAGUCUUGUCAAAACGCAAGAAGCCUCGUGGCAGGGGAAACAUUUUGGAAAAUAUUUUGUAGGUCUGUUUUCCAAGUGUCUGCAAAGCCAAAUUCCUUGGAAAUAUGUUCUUUGUGCAUGAGUGUGGCAUCUCUCUCAUUUUCCAGAGUGCAUGAAAUAUGCCAAUCUUCAAUUCUGUUAUUCAAAGUUACAGGCAAAGUUGAAAAAAGCAAAUACAACUUCAUGCUGCAUGCAAAAUAUAAAAGUGCAACCAUAAAUACCGUUUUAAUUUUUAAAAACUUUAUAUCAUUUGGGGAGUUCCCCUAGAAGCUCAGUGGAAAGGAAUCUGACUAGCAUCCAUGAGGAUGUAGGUUCAAUCGCUGGCCUCACUCAAUAAGUUAAGGAUCUGGCAUUGUCAUGAGUGUGGUGUAGGUCACAGAUGCAGCUCAGAUCUGGUGUUGCUGUGGCCGUGGCGUAGGCCAGCAGCUACGGCUUAAAUUUGACCCCUAGCCUGGGAACCUCCAUAUGCCCCAGGUACAGCCCUAAAAAAACAAAACAAAACAAAAUUUGUAUCAUUUAAGAUCUGAUCAUAAAACAGAGGAUACAUAAAACACUCACCUGGGGUAAUCGGUAAAACUAUUUACAGAGGUGUGGGGAAACCAAGGGUUAAUGCAAUGUAUGGGGCUAAGGGAGGAAGAACCCACUGAGAAAGUCCACAUAGGAGAACCUACCAGGCACCAAGCUGAGUAUAAAGGGAUAAAUGGAAGAUAACCAGCACAGAAACAAGGCUAUUUUCAAAUAUUUUCAAACAUUUGCUGGGUAUUUAUUUACCACUGUGUAAUCACUAGCUUUAGGCUGGGCUGUGGACUACAGAGAUUAAGAGGGCAGAUAGCUUGGACUCAGCUUGCCACUCAUCAGCUAUGUGAGUUUCUUAUGUCACUGAACUUUAUUUGGUAAAAUGAGGGACAAAAGCAGUAUUCAUCCUAACACUGGUGUGAGAAGCCAAAGAGUAAAUGUAUUUAUGUUGAUGCUAGAAAGAUAUUACCAGAAUUCAGGUUCUUGUUCAUGCAGCCAAAGAAUGAACUCUGGAACACACAGGCAGCAAGCAAGCAAAAUCUUUAUUAUAAGAAAACAAAUAGCUCCCAGGACAGCUGGGAAGGGGUAGAAGAGCCCCCCUCUCUAUUGUCUUAUAGGGGUUUUUAUCCCUUAAAGAUGGGGGUUACCAAUGUGGGGUACAGAAAGAUGUGGGUUUUUUUCCUCAUUGGCUUUGCCCAAUUACCUAUAUCAGUCCUUGUCCAAUAGGGGUCUUGGAGUGGAAAUGUCCCGUAAGUCUCAUGGUUUCUUUGCCCUUCUCUUCCCGUAAACUGAGUCACAGGGGGUUAGAGAUUAAUGUCCAUCCGGGCAAAGGUACACUCCCUGUAGUAAACAAGGCCUGUGGGGAUGUUACUCUCUGGAAUCUUUAAGCCACAAAUGUUAAUCAAUACAUAUCAAAGAAGGCAUCAAAGCCCAUGCUCCUACAAUGACCACAUGAGUUAUUAUUCUGUCUCAAUGUUAGCCACAAAAAUGUUCAAGAGAAACCUAUGGGAAAAAAGCUUAAAAUUGUGGAAAUUCUAAAUUUAAACUGAAUUAAAUUAGUAUUUCAUAUGACUUGGUCAAAAAUAUUCUAUGUAAUUGACAGAACAUCUGCAAGGCCUCCAAAGCUGUAAAAUGAUCUAGACUAGCAGAGGUGGGUAGGGGUGAUGGUUGUGAUCAGUAAUGGUGGUAAAACCGAGCAGAAUCCUAUGGGACUUUCCCAAGUACAAAGUACAAAGUAGAAGUACAAACGCCUUCCCAAGUACUAUGUCCCCUGGCUCUUGUUUAGGGAAAUGCUGAAGUCUUCCAGGCUUCCUAGAGACACAAAAGAGGAGGCUCAAGCAGUUAAUUAUUGGGAUGAUAGAGUCCUACACUCAGCGUCUGAUAAAGAAUGAGAUUAACACUAUUGCUCAUAUGAUCUAUAUCUCUGUGUGCAUUAGAAUAAUUGUAGCUUGUUCUGCUCAUAUAUGUUAGCAGGCAACUAAAAUUGUCAGCAAAGAGAUGAUACAGAUCCAUGUUGACAUCUUCCAUUCUAAGAAUAAAAUGCCCCCUAGGUCAGCAUGAAGUUACAGAAGACAGACCUUUGCCCCAGAUGCAUAAAACGGGAAUGAUGUCUGAUGGGAUUUGUCAGCAGCUCAUUUGCCCCUUUUCCGCUUGUUCAUUUCUGUUUUCCUCGGACCUCAAUCAUAAAGAUGAAAUCAUUAGGCAACAUUUAACCUAAGU
rnacentral:lncRNA from 1 species